UUUUUUUUUUUCCUGUGCCCAUGGCAUGUGGAAGUUCCCAGGACAGGGACUGACCCCAUCCCACAGCAACAACCCAAGCUGCCACAGUGACAACACUGAUCCUUAACCUACUGGCCACAGGGAAACUCUGAGACAAAAGUGUUUUUAUGACAGUUUCCAUGCCUACUUUGUGUCUUACUUUCUAAAGAAAUGCAGUUUUUCUUGUGACAUUGUAUACCUUUAAUAAAUUGUAUUUUCAUGAAGCUGUAAAGCUUUCCAUUGGCAGUUGUAACUACAAGGUUAAGUUUAUCAUGAGAGCUAUAAAAAGUUAUUGAAAAUGUGUCCUACAAAUUAUUGUUGCCAAUGCACUGCAAUUCCUCAACUGGAGUACUGUUAAGUAUGGAUUUGAGAAGUCAAUUUAGGAUUUUCGUCCUUAUACACUGAAUUCCCAUCAGUACAUGUUCACCAGGCAAUUCAGCUAUUAGUGUAUACAUAGUUGCAGUAGUUUACUCUUUAAAUUCUAUUCACUAUCUAUGACACUGAAAGGCCAUUAUAUUCUUCCAAUGUUUUAAAACUCUCCUUUAAAGAUGAUGUUGUUUUUUAUCUAAUAUAGAAAACAAAACUGAAUUUUUUUUUGUCUUUUCUAGGGCAUGGCAUAUGGAGGUUCCCAGGGGUCUAAUUGGAGCUGUAGCUGCCAGCCUACACCAUAGCCACAGCAAUGCCAGAUCCCAGCCUCGGCUUUGACCUACACCACAGCUCAUGGCAAUGCUGGAUCCUUAACCCACUGAGAGAGGCCAGGGAUCGAACCCACAACCUCAGGGUUCCUAGUCGGAUUUGUUAGCCACUGAACCACGAUGGGAACUCCCAGAAAAUUGAAUUUGAAAUUUAGUUUUGGAUCAUAAAUGGGAUUCUCCAUUGAACUGAAACUUCUUACUCCUUUUUUGGUAUUGUCUAUAUUGGGAGAUUUGUCAUCAGUAUCAAGAGAUUCUGCGAUGUGUUUAGCAUCAAUGUAUUUUUCAUAAAUGUUAUCUGUUGCUUUGUCUUCAAGAAAUGGGUUAAUUCCUUUGAUGGUUUUAAAUUCAUUGAUUACACUGAAUUUUUGUUCCUGUAUUAUUUUUCAUUUAACAUCAGUUUUACUGAAGAUAUUACGACAAAUAGGUCAACAAGUAAAUGUAAAAAUGAUUUUUUUUCAAAAUCAUACUUUUGAUUUGCAUUGUGGAAAAUACGACAGCACAAGAGUUUCUAACAGGGCACUGCAAUCUUCCUUUAAAUAAGUGUCUAGUGUCAGGAUAGCUUCAACUUCACUAUCUCAUCUUUUUUUUUUUCCAAAAAUGGCUUCAAAUUUCUUUCCUAAAAUUGUCUUCAAUAAACUUCAAAAUCGAUGCCAGAAAAUCUGUGUGUUUUCUAUCAAGUUAAAAUAAAACAAGGAAUAAGACAAGUUUUAUAAUUUUCUUCAGAGAUCUGCUGUCAUGAUCUUUAUGCUCUCCAUGCGUAUUUGACCACUGUCAUAUCCCUGGUCAUUCAAAUUAUUUUGUCCAGAUUUUUAUUUGUCUAGAUAACAGUAGAUUUGUCUAGAUUUUGUCUAGAUUAUUUUUGUAGGCAUUCGACUGAGCAUUGACAGUAUCUAUGUCAGUACAGCUUAACUACUUAUUCCUGGAAUUUCUAGCCCAGGGAGAUAAGAUUGCUAACUAGUAAAUGCCUAACUUCAUCAUUUACUUCAGGAAAUUCCUGCAAACCAAUUUAUCAGAGCAAACAGUUACCUCACAGUGGCAAAUAACUAGUCACAGCAAGAAAACUAUAUGCUCACCUGGACGAACAGCUUGCUUAUCAGGACAAGAGUUUGUUUAUCCAGCCUUAUUUCGAGACUCAUCCUAAACUGUUAUGUUUCAAACUUUACCUAAUCCUCACCAGUUUCCCAUCUUGAAGAAUCUGUCUUACAUUACCUGAGCCCAGACCUACAAGCCUUCCCUGCUAAGACUUCCUUAAGAUGCUGUUCUCCCUCACUGGUCUAAGUCUAACACACUUGAUUUUGCCUAAUCAACAGGUUUUUCUAGUAGUUUUUGUAAGAGAGUCAAGAGGCAACAUUAUUAAAAAUAUGUCUAGGUUUAUCAUUUACUGAACAAACCCUCACAAAAUGUUAUAGACAAUUUUGCCUUCUUGAAAUCCAAAAAACAAACAAAUAAACAAAAACAAAUGGGUAAUGAUUACAAUCAGUUCUAAACAGCUUGUAUUGGGGUUAUUAUAUCUAAAAGAAGUGAAUGAUAUUUAGUCCUUCCUUAUUCUAAUAAUACAUGAUUUGCUGCUGAUGUUUAUAUUGUAAGAAAAUAUUCUACAUUUAAAGUUAUCAUUUGCUAUGGAGUUCCCUUUGUGGCUCAGCGGUAAUGAACCCGACGAGGAUCCAUGAGGAUGCAGGUUUGAUCCCUGGCCUUACUCAUGGGUUAA
rnacentral:lncRNA from 1 species